rnacentral:rRNA from 1 species
UACGUAGGGCGCAAGCGUUAUCCGGAAUUAUUGGGCGUAAAGAGCUCGUAGGCGGCUUGUUGCGUCGGUUGUGAAAGCCCGGGGCUUAACCCCGGGUCUGCAGUCGAUACGGGCAGGCUAGAGUGUGGUAGGGGAGAUCGGAAUUCCUGGUGUAGCGGUGAAAUGCGCAGAUAUCAGGAGGAACACCGGUGGCGAAGGCGGAUCUCUGGGCCAUUACUGACGCUGAGGAGCGAAAGCGUGGGGAGCGAACAGG